CUCUCUCUAGCCCGCCUCGCUCGCUCUCGCUACCUCUCUCCGGGAUUCGCACGUGCACGAUACACUGCACGCCCAUGCACCCACGACACCAUAAAAAAAUGCGAUAGCUCCCCUAAGCUCGCGAGGUCUUUUUCGACAACAAUUAUGCGUUCGUUCUCUGUUCGCGUCUUCGCCAGAAGUGAGAUCUCUUCCUCCGAUCUCGAACGACGUUGCUCCUGUUGCUUCAAUUUUUUUUCCUUCCGGGAUCACGCGACAUCGAGAGGCGGCUCUUUAUUUUCUCCUUUGUCGACGAGCCUCUUCCGCGUGAUCCAGGUUCCUCGUUAGCAGGUGUCGUGUCCCGGUUUGUUUUCGUGCCUACGAUAAUAGACAAAAAUAUAUCGAUCGCAGCGGUGCGAUCUUAACGGCACAAUUGUUCGAAACCGAAAUUAUAAGUGGGCCAAUGACAUCACCUGAGAGAUCCCUUAAUGCUCGCGGCGGCUUCUCGAUAUCUCCUUCCUUCCUUCUCGGUCUCUUUUCCCUCGUCCUCUGCUCCUGCUAGUCGGAGGCUACCCACGGCGAAGGGGCACACAAGUCAUAGGGCCGCGGGAGUAUCACCAGAAAGAAAAAGAACAGCAAUCCUGCACCUGCUGAUUCUUAGGUCCAUGGAAAGAACAGGCCUAUAACCUGUCAGUCCUGUCACUAUCUUAUUUACAAUAAAACAAAAAUCAUAUUAGUCAAUAAUGGACAAAAGUGUUCAUUAUACGGACUGGGAGAGAAUGCUCUUGGCGCGGCUUAUUUCGGAAGAAAAAGUUAUUAAAUAUAAAAAAACCGAUGCGACAGAUAUGAAGAAUAAGGCAGAGGCAUAGGAGAGAGUAACAAAAAAAUAUGCUAGCGAAAGUUGUACGCUUCGUUCCAGCAAACAACUGAGGAAAUGCUGGGAUAACAUGAAAUAAAAAAACGAAAAUUAAACACGACGAUCCGGUACCACACCGGCUUAUGACAGGUGGAGGUUCUGCAUUAGUACAACCGAAUGACCCAGUAAUGGAAUUCAUGGAUGCAACACAUGCUAAUUUAGACGCAGAAAUUAAUUGCCCAUUUGACAGCACUGCGGUAUUUGAGAAAGAAUAUAAUGUACAGAUAUGUUCUACAUCCACAUAAAGACCAUCCACAUAAGUGAUCAUCGAAGAUGAAAAUGAGAAGGACGAGGAAGAUACUAAUGAUGUAUUUCUGUAUGAUCAGAGCAUCCCAUCCAAAUCUCAUAGCACACCAUUGGAAAAAGGGACCGCUUUAAAGAAACUGUAACAAAAAAUAAUUAAGAUUAAUAAAACUACGAGAAGCAAUUGAGCAGCAGCGGGAGCUUCAUGCUAAAAAAAUGGCGAUUGCAGAAGCAGAAGAGAAGAUUGUUAUGCUAAAACUGUUGAAGAAGGAAGAGGCACUCAAGCAAACAUAGUAUAAUAUAUAAAAUAUUGACAACGAUAUAAUAUAUACAGGAUGUCUCAUAACUAAUGUUGCAGAGCUCAUGGAGACAUAGAACGGUUUAAGACAAACAUACAAGUCCCAUACCGUUUUGCAAUAAUUAUCGAAUUAUUAAUGAUAGAAAUCUGAGAAAUAGAAGCGCGCCGACUGAUAAAUGAUUUGAGAAGCGUUGCAGCCAUUUCGACAAGAGCGCGGCCCAGUCGAUCCAGAAACUGCCGGUGCGCGGCGAAGGGAAGGACAAUGUGUCGCUAUUCGUGUUUUAUUUCGCCACUCCUACGUUUCGCCGCAUUCUGCCAAUAGUUGCUAGAUUGAUUGAGCCGUGCUAUGGCCCGGCUGCGACGCUUCUCCAAUCAUCCAUUUCGACGCGCGCUCACUCGUCAGAUUUCUGUCAUUAAUAAUUCGAUAAUUAUUGCGAAUCUCGCAUAACGGUAUAGGACUUUUAUGUUUGUCUUAACCCGCUCUAUGUCUCCACAAGCUCUGCAACAUUAGUUACGAGACACCUUGUAUAUAUGAUAAAACAACCUUUAUAAAGUUAUCCUACAGAUGUAAGUUAUGUUU
rnacentral:lncRNA from 1 species